ACGGCUCAGUAACACGUGGAUAACUUGUCCUGUGGACCGGGAUAACCCCUGGGAAACUGGGGCUAAUACCGGAUAGAGCAGCGAUCGCUGGAAUGCACGAUGCUCCAAAGCUCCGGCACCACAGGGUAGGUCUGCGGCCGAUUAGGUCGUUGUUGAUGUAACGGAUCAACAAGCCUCCGAUCGGUAUGGGUUGUGAGAGCAAUAGCCCAGAGAUGGGUUCUGAGAUAAGAACCCAGGUCCUACGGGACGCAUCAGGCGCGAAAACUUUACACUGUGCGCCAGCACGAUAAGGGAACUCUGAGUGCCUCCUCAGGAGGCUGUUCAGGUGUCUAAAACGCAUCUGAAGGAAGGGCUGGGUAAGACUGGUGCCAGCCGCCGCGGUAACACCAGCAGCCCAAGUGGUAGCCACUCUUACUGGGUCUAAAGCGCCCGUAGCCGGCCAGGUAAGUUCCUUGGGAAAUUUGAUCGCUUAACGAUUAAGCGUCCAGGGAAUACUGCCCGGCUUGGGACCGGGAGAGGUCAGAGGUACCCCAAGGGUAGGGGUGAAAUCCGUUAAUCCUUGGGGGACCGCCGGUAGCGAAGGCGUCUGACUAGACCGGAUCCGACGGUGAGGGGCGAAGGCUAGGGGAGCGAACCGGAUUAGAUACCCGGGUAGUCCUAGCUGUAAACGAUGCGGGCUAGGUGUUGGCAUUACUGCGAGUGAUGCCAGUGCCGAAGGGAAGCCGUUAAGCUCGCCAUCUGGGGAGUACGGUCGCAAGGCUGAAACUUAAAGGAAUUGGCGGGGGAGCA
rnacentral:rRNA from 1 species